rnacentral:rRNA from 1 species
UACGAAGGGGGCUAGCGUUGCUCGGAAUUACUGGGCGUAAAGGGCGCGUAGGCGGCACUGUUAGUCAGGCGUGAAAGUCCUGGGCUCAACCUGGGAACUGCGCUUGAUACGGCAGAGCUAGAGGAUGGAAGAGGCUCGCGGAAUUCCCAGUGUAGAGGUGAAAUUCGUAGAUAUUGGGAAGAACACCGGUGGCGAAGGCGGCGAGCUGGUCCAUUACUGACGCUGAGGCGCGACAGCGUGGGGAGCAAACGAGG